AUUCAAGGAAACAAGUGAAAAAAAAGGUGGUGAGCAUUUUGGCAAAAGUCAAGAGAUAGUACCCGAGGAUCAAGAAUCGAAGUACUCUGAAUUCGAUUCCGAUUAUAGCUCAGGAUAGUCAGUAGAUAGCUCACUUUGUUGAGGG
rnacentral:sRNA from 10 species